rnacentral:lncRNA from 1 species
UUCCUUAGAUUGCGUUUACUUUUGAUGUGUUUGUAGAUCUAAUUAACAAUUGUCAUUGAUAUGCAAAAUUCAUGAGAUAAUAGGCGACUUUUAGCAAUAUUUCAUUAUUCAUAUUCAGUAAUUUUAAAAUAUUUUAAAUAAUUUUUUAUUGUUUUUAAUAUUUUUUAAAAAAAAAAUUGACACGAAGCCUAAGACUAAGCAGAAAGCUUAGAGUAAGAGCUGGGCUCGAGCU